rnacentral:rRNA from 1 species
GAUGAACGCUGGCGGCGUGCCUAAUACAUGCAAGUCGAGCGAAUGGAUUAAGAGCUUGCACUUAUGAAGUUAGCGGCGGACGGGUGAGUAACACGUGGGUAACCUGCCCAUAAGACUGGGAUAACUCCGGGAAACCGGGGCUAAUGCCGGAUAACAUUUUGAACCGCAUGGUUCGAAAUUGAAAGGCGGCUUCGGCUGUCACUUAUGGAUGGACCCGCGUCGCAUUAGCUAGUUGGUGAGGUAACGGCUCACCAAGGCAACGAUGCGUAGCCGACCUGAGAGGGUGAUCGGCCACACUGGGACUGAGACACGGCCCAGACUCCUACGGGAGGCAGCAGUAGGGAAUCUUCCGCAAUGGACGAAAGUCUGACGGAGCAACGCCGCGUGAGUGAUGAAGGCUUUCGGGUCGUAAAACUCUGUUGUUAGGGAAGAACAAGUGCUAGUUGAAUAAGCUGGCACCUUGACGGUACCUAACCAGAAAGCCACGGCUAACUACGUGCCAGCAGCCGCAGUAA